ensembl:snoRNA small nucleolar RNA SNORD100
UGUGUCUGUGAUGAUGAUCUGGCUCCCUCUACUGACUAAUAUGAGGACAUUGCCACUGUUACCCAAUUCCAUGUCUGAGAUGCA